UCCUACGGGAGGCUGCAGUCGAGGAUCUUCGUCAAUGGGCGCAAGCCUGAACGAGCGACACCGCGUGCGCGAUGAAGGCCUUCGGGUUGUAAAGCGCGAAAGUGGGGAUAAAACCGCAAGGUUGAUUGAUCCACAGUAAGGACGGGCUAAGUUCGUGCCAGCAGCCGCGGUAAGACGAACUGUCCUAACGUUGUUCGGAAUCACUGGGCUUAAAGGGCGCGUAGGCGGUCCGACAAGUCAGGGGUGAAAUCCUGCAGCUUAACUGUAGAAGUGCCUCUGAUACUGUCGGUCUUGAGGGAAAUAGGGGUGUGCGGAACUUCCAGUGGAGCGGUGAAAUGCGUUGAUAUUGGAAGGAACGCCGGUGGCGAAAGCGGCGCACUGGAUUUCUUCUGACGCUGAGGCGCGAAAGCUAGGGGAGCAAACGGGAUUAGAUACCCGUGUAGUC
rnacentral:rRNA from 1 species